rnacentral:tRNA from 5 species
GCGCCCAUAGCUCAAUUGGAUAGAGCGUUGGACUACGAAUCCAAAGGUCGCAGGUUCGAAUCCUGCUGGGCGCACCA